rnacentral:rRNA from 1 species
GAAUACCGGAGAAUGUUAUCACGGGAGACACACGGCGGGUGCUAACGUCCGUCGUGAAGAGGGAAACAACCCAGACCGCCAGCUAAGGUCCCAAAGUCAUGGUUAAGUGGGAAACGAUGUGGGAAGGCCCAGACAGCCAGGAUGUUGGCUUAGAAGCAGCCAUCAUUUAAAGAAAGCGUAAUAGCUCACUGGUCGAGUCGGCCUGCGCGGAAGAUGUAACGGGGCUAAACCAUGCACCGAAGCUGCGGCAGCGACACUGUGUGUUGUUGGGUAGGGGAGCGUUCUGUAAGCCUGUGAAGGUGUGCUGUGAGGCAUGCUGGAGGUAUCAGAAGUGCGAAUGCUGACAUAAGUAACGAUAAAGCGGGUGAAAAGCCCGCUCGCCGGAAGACCAAGGGUUCCUGUCCAACGUUAAUCGGGGCAGGGUGAGUCGACCCCUAAGGCGAGGCCGAAAGGCGUAGUCGAUGGGAAACAGGUUAAUAUUCCUGUACUUGGUGUUACUGCGAAGGGGGGACGGAGAAGGCUAUGUUGGCCGGGCGACGGUUGUCCCGGUUUAAGCGUGUAGGCUGGUUUUCCAGGCAAAUCCGGAAAAUCAAGGCUGAGGCGUGAUGACGAGGCACUACGGUGCUGAAGCAACAAAUGCCCUGCUUCCAGGAAAAGCCUCUAAGCAUCAGGUAACAUCAAAUCGUACCCCAAACCGACACAGGUGGUCAGGUAGAGAAUACCAAGGCGCUUGAGAGAACUCGGGUGAAGGAACUAGGCAAAAUGGUGCCGUAACUUCGGGAGAAGGCACGCUGAUAUGUAGGUGAAGUCCCUCGCGGAUGGAGCUGAAAUCAGUCGAAGAUACCAGCUGGCUGCAACUGUUUAUUAAAAACACAGCACUGUGCAAACACGAAAGUGGACGUAUACGGUGUGACGCCUGCCCGGUGCCGGAAGGUUAAUUGAUGGGGUCAGCGCAAGCGAAGCUCUUGAUCGAAGCCCCGGUAAACGGCGGCCGUAACUAUAACGGUCCUAAGGUAGCGAAAUUCCUUGUCGGGUAAGUUCCGACCUGCACGAAUGGCGUAAUGAUGGCCAGGCUGUCUCCACCCGAGACUCAGUGAAAUUGAACUCGCUGUGAAGAUGCAGUGUACCCGCGGCAAGACGGAAAGACCCCGUGAACCUUUACUAUAGCUUGACACUGAACAUUGAGCCUUGAUGUGUAGGAUAGGUGGGAGGCUUUGAAGUGUGGACGCCAGUCUGCAUGGAGCCGACCUUGAAAUACCACCCUUUAAUGUUUGAUGUUCUAACGUGGACCCGUGAUCCGGGUUGCGGACAGUGUCUGGUGGGUAGUUUGACUGGGGCGGUCUCCUCCUAAAGAGUAACGGAGGAGCACGAAGGUUGGCUAAUCCUGGUCGGACAUCAGGAGGUUAGUGCAAUGGCAUAAGCCAGCUUGACUGCGAGCGUGACGGCGCGAGCAGGUGCGAAAGCAGGUCAUAGUGAUCCGGUGGUUCUGAAUGGAAGGGCCAUCGCUCAACGGAUAAAAGGUACUCCGGGGAUAACAGGCUGAUACCGCCCAAGAGUUCAUAUCGACGGCGGUGUUUGGCACCUCGAUGUCGGCUCAUCACAUCCUGGGGCUGAAGUAGGUCCCAAGGGUAUGGCUGUUCGCCAUUUAAAGUGGUACGCGAGCUGGGUUUAGAACGUCGUGAGACAGUUCGGUCCCUAUCUGCCGUGGGCGCUGGAGAACUGAGGGGGGCUGCUCCUAGUACGAGAGGACCGGAGUGGACGCAUCACUGGUGUUCGGGUUGUCAUGCCAAUGGCACUGCCCGGUAGCUAAAUGCGGAAGAGAUAAGUGCUGAAAGCAUCUAAGCACGAAACUUGCCCCGAGAUGAGUUCUCCCUGACCCUUUAAGGGUCCUGAAGGAACGUUGAAGACGACGACGUUGAUAGGCCGGGUGUGUAAGCGCAGCGAUGCGUUGAGCUAACCGGUACUAAUGAACCGUGAGGCUUAACCUUACAACGCCGAAGGUGUUU